GAUCGAAGAUGGCAGAUUUUACCUCCCUGACUACAGUGGAGUACAUUGAAGCCGAUAACUCUAUCUCACUGUAUCUGGCAGUGGAAUAGAUUGAAGAUUGCAGAUCUUGCCUUCCUGUAUUAGGCAGCGAAGCAGAUCGAAGAUGGCAGAUUUUACCUCCCUGACCACAGUGGAGUACACUGAAGCCGAUAAUUCUAUCUCCCUGUAUUUGGCAGUGGAAUAGAUUGAAGAUUGCAGAUCUUGCCUUCCUAUAUUUGGCAGCGAAGCAGAUCAAAGAUGGCAGAUUUUACCUCCCUGACCACAGUGGAGUACAUUGAAGCCGAUAACUCUAUCUCCCUGUAUCUGGCAGUGGAAUAGAUUGAAUAUUGCAGAUCUUGCCUUCCUGUAUUCGGCAGCGAAGCAGAUUGAAGAUGGCAGAUUUUACCUCCCUGACCACAGUGGAGUACAUUGAAGCCGAUAACUCUAUCUCCCUGUAUCUGGCAGUGGAAUAGAUUGAAUAUUGCAGAUCUUGCCUUCCUGUAUUCGGCAGCGAAGCAGAUCGAAGAUGGCAGAUUUUACCUCCCUGACUACAGUGGAGUACAUUGAAGCCGAUAACUCUAUCUCACUGUAUCUGGCAGUGGAAUAGAUUGAAGAUUGCAGAUCUUGCCUUCCUGUAUUAGGCAGCGAAGCAGAUCGAAGAUGGCAGAUUUUACCUCCCUGUGACUACAGUGGAGUACAUUGAAGCCGAUAACUCUAUCUCCCUGUAUCUGGCAG
rnacentral:lncRNA from 1 species